rnacentral:lncRNA from 1 species
UUGACAGUUUGGCUUCCCUGUUCUGGGUGGCAAAGCCUGUGGAGUACUCACCUACCUGCUGCAUGAAGGCAGCAUGGAGGGACUGUGGUGGAUUAUCUGCAAAGAUGGCCAAAAUUCUCUCAUCCCUGCAGGCACAUACAAGAAUGAGGAAGAAAGAUGAAGAAUGAGGAGGAAGAAGGGAGGAACAAGAGAGAGAGGUUUCCAGAAGUUCCCCAGUCAUUGAGCAUUUCUGAGGCUCUUGAUGCAUAUGCCAAGUAGUUAUGGAGAAAGACACAGCAGCUUACCUCUGCAGGCAUCAUUGUGUGAAAGGAAGACCCAGGCUCUCUCACCACCCUUCAACAGAAGCCUUUUGCUAAGGUGAUAGCUACAUGUCCAAGCCUAUUGCGUGGCAUGCAUUUUGCCUUCUGCAGCCCACUAAAGGAAAUUGAGGUAUACGGAAUGCUUAUUUGGUUUACUCAGUAUCAUCCUAAAUGUAUGUACCAAUGCUUAGGAGUUUGCAGUUCACCCGCAAACCUCAGCGAUCCAAGCUCCCCUGGAUGACCAUCACUCACCAAGAAAAGAACAAUAACAGGACCUGUUUUGCUAAUCCAGGACUGUUCUCCAGCACUAACUCUAAAUAAUCCCUUCUGCUAGAGUCCACUUUCUGGAACCUGUUGCCUCCGUUUUCAACGUUUCCCAAACUUGGUCCGUUGUGUGAGCUGGCUGAUAAAAGUUCCAGGGAGAGGACAUCUUACUCUUAUUGGAUCAUGCACAGUGCCUGAAGCAUUCUGUUGCAUGUAGAAAUCAGUAAAUUGCAGAUGUAAGAUUCAAAACCAGACUUCACAUCUACCGACUUCAGUGACCCUGAAAUUUGUUCACAGAGAGCAUUUAACAUAACUGUCUUCAUCAUCUCCUUCUCUACAUUAAAAAUUAUGG